rnacentral:rRNA from 1 species
CGUCUACAUUAGAUACCCCCGUAGUCCCAGCCGUAAACUAUGCGCGUUAGGUGUAUCGGUGACCACGAGUUACCGAGGUGCCGAAGGGAAACCGUGAAACGUGCCGCCUGGGAAGUACGGUCGCAAGGCUGAAACUUAAAGGAAUUGGCGGGGAGCACCACAACGGGUGGAGCCUGCGGUUUAAUUGGACUCAACGCCGGGAAGCUCACCGGAUAAGACAGCGGAAUGAUUGCCGGGCUGAAGACUCUGCAUGACUAGCUG